AUCCCAAAUGACGUCUAAACAAGCAGGCCAAACAAAUGAAACCUCAGCCUCAGAGUCAACAACUGUCACACUUUCAACUCCUCAUACCUCCACUCCUGACACUAAAUCAUCCCAAAUGACGUCUAAACAAGCAGGCCAAACAAAUGAAACCUCAGCCUCAGAGUCAACAACUGUCACACUUUCAACUCCUCAUACCUCA